rnacentral:rRNA from 1 species
AUAAGAUCCGUAGUCGAAAGGGAAACAGCCCAGACCACCAGUUAAGGUCCCCAAAUAUAUGUUAAGUGGAAAAGGAUGUGGGGUUGCUUAGACAACCAGGAUGUUGGCUUAGAAGCAGCCACCAUUGAAAGAGUGCGUAAUAGCUCACUGGUCGAGUGACCCCGCGCCGAAAAUGUACCGGGGCUAAACAUAUUACCGAAACUGUGGAUGAACCUCUUUAGAGGUUCGUGGUAGGAGAGCGUUCUAAGGGCGGUGAAGUCAGACCGGAAGGACUGGUGGAGCGCUUAGAAGUGAGAAUGCCGGUAUGAGUAGCGAAAGAAGGGUGAGAAUCCCUUCCACCGAAUAUCUAAGGUUUCCUGAGGAAGGCUCGUCCGCUCAGGGUUAGUCGGGACCUAAGCCGAGGCCGAUAGGCGUAGGCGAUGGACAACAGGUAGAGAUUCCUGUACCAGUGCUAAUUGUUUAACCGAUGGGGUGACACAGAAGGAUAGGGAAUCGCACGAAUGGAAAUGUGCGUCCAAGCAGUGAGUGUGAGAAGUAGGCAAAUCCGCUUCUCGCGAAGCAUGAGCUGUGAUGGGGAAGGAAAUUAAGUACGGAAGUUCCUGAUUUCACGCUGUCAAGAAAAGCCUCUAGGAAGAGUAGUACUGCCCGUACCGCAAACCGACACAGGUAGAUGAGGAGAGAAUCCUAAGGUGAGCGAGAGAACUCUCGUUAAGGAACUCGGCAAAAUGACCCCGUAACUUCGGGAGAAGGGGUGCUCUAUUAGGGUGCAAGCCCGAGAGAGCCGCAGUGAAUAGGCCCAGGCGACUGUUUAGCAAAAACACAGGUCUCUGCAAAACCGUAAGGUGACGUAUAGGGGCUGACGCCUGCCCGGUGCUGGAAGGUUAAGAGGAGUGCUUAGCUUCGGCGAAGGUACGAAUUGAAGCCCCAGUAAACGGCGGCCGUAACUAUAACGGUCCUAAGGUAGCGAAAUUCCUUGUCGGGUAAGUUCCGACCCGCACGAAAGGCGCAACGAUCUGGGCACUGUCUCAACGAGAGACUCGGUGAAAUUAUAGUACCUGUGAAGAUGCAGGUUACCCGCGACAGGACGGAAAGACCCCGUGGAGCUUUACUGCAACCUGAUAUGGAAUGUUUGUACCGCUUGUACAGGAUAGGUAGGAGCCGAAGAGACGUGUGCGCUAGCAUACGAGGAGGCAAUGGUGGGAUACUACCCUGGCUGUAUGACCAUUCUAACCCGCCACGCUUAGCGCGUGGGGAGACAGUGUCAGGUGGGCAGUUUGACUGGGGCGGUCGCCUCCUAAAGAGUAACGGAGGCGCCCAAAGGUUCCCUCAGAAUGGAUGGAAAUCAUUCGCAGAGUGUAAAGGCACAAGGGAGCUUGACUGCGAGACUGACAAGUCGAGCAGGGACGAAAGUCGGGCUUAGUGAUCCGGUGGUUCCGCAUGGAAGGGCCAUCGCUCAACGGAUAAAAGCUACCCCGGGGAUAACAGGCUUAUCUCCCCCAAGAGUCCACAUCGACGGGGAGGUUUGGCACCUCGAUGUCGGCUCGUCGCAUCCUGGGGCUGUAGU